UACGUAGGGUGCAAGCGUUAAUCGGAAUUACUGGGCGUAAAGCGUGCGCAGGCGGUUGUGUAAGACAGAUGUGAAAUCCCCGGGCUCAACCUGGGAACUGCAUUUGUGACUGCACGGCUCGAGUGCGGCAGAGGGGGAUGGAAUUCCGCGUGUAGCAGUGAAAUGCGUAGAUAUGCGGAGGAACACCGAUGGCGAAGGCAAUCCCCUGGGCCUGCACUGACGCUCGAUGCACGAAAGCGUUGGGGAGCAAACAGGA
rnacentral:rRNA from 1 species